rnacentral:rRNA from 1 species
UACGGAGGGGGCUAGCGUUGUUCGGAAUUACUGGGCGUCCAGCGCACGUAGGCGGCGCGACAAGUCAGAGGUGAAAGGCCUGGGCUCAACCUGGGAACUGCCUUUGAUACUGGCGUGCUUGAGUCCGGAAGAGGGUGGCGUAAUUCCCAGUGUAGAGGUGAAAUGCGUAGAUAUUGGGAAGAACACCGGUGGCGAAGGCGGUCACCAGGUCCGGUACUGACGCUGAGGUGCGAAAGCGUGGGGAGCAAACAGG